CUGAGAGGAAGGUCCCCCACAUUGGAACUGAGACACGGUCCAAACUCCUACGGGAGGCAGCAUUGAGGAAUAUUGGUCAAUGGGCGAGAGCCUGAACCAGCCAAGUAGCGUGAAGGAUGACUGCCCUAUGGGUUGUAAACUUCUUUUAUAAAGGAAUAAAGUUGGGUAUGGAUACCAGUUGCAUUCCUUUAUGAAUAAGGA
rnacentral:rRNA from 1 species